GCCUGGCUGGCUCAGUUGGUAGAGCACGUGACUCUUGAUCUCUGGGUUGUGAGCUCCAGCCUUAUGUUGGGCA
rnacentral:tRNA from 1 species